CAGUGCAGUCACCCAUAAAGUAGAAAGCACUACUAACAGCACUGGAGGGUGUAGUGUUUCCUACUUUAUGGAUGAGUGUACUGU
ncrna:Bos taurus (cattle) microRNA bta-mir-142 precursor